UGACGGUAGCUAGAUAAGAUGCGUCAGCUAACUACGUGCCAGCAGCCGCGGUAAUACGUAGGACGCGAGCGUUGUCCGGAAUUAUUGGGCGUAAAGAGCUCGUAGGCGGCUGGUCGCGUCUGUCGUGAAAUCCUCUGGCUUAACUGGGGGCUUGCGGUGGGUACGGGCCGGCUUGAGUGCGGUAGGGGAGACUGGAACUCCUGGUGUAGCGGUGGAAUGCGCAGAUAUCAGGAAGAACUCCGGUGGCGAAGGCGGGUCUCUGGGCCGUUACUGACGCUGAGGAGCGAAAGCGUGGGGAGCGAACAGGAUUAGAUACCCUGGUAGUCCACGCCGUAAACGUUGGGCACUAGGUGUGGGGGCCCUUUUCCGGGUCUUCCGCGCCGUAGCUAACGCAUUAAGUGCCCCGCCUGGGGAGUACGGCCGCAAGGCUAAAACUCAAAGGAAUUGACGGGGGCCCGCACAAGCGGCGGAGCAUGCGGAUUAAUUCGAUGCAACGCGAAGAACCUUACCAAGGCUUGACAUGUGCCGGUCGGCUCCGGAGACGGGGCUUCCUCCUUGUGGGGCCGGUUCACAGGUGGUGCAUGGUUGUCGUCAGCUCGUGUCGUGAGAUGUUGGGUUAAGUCCCGCAACGAGCGCAACCCUUGUCCCGUGUUGCCAGCGCGUUGUGGUGGGGACUCGCGGGAGACUGCCGGGGUCAACUCGGAGGAAGGUGGGGAUGACGUCAAAUCAUCAUGCCCCUUAUGUCUUGGGCUUCACGCAUGCUACAAUGGCCGGUACAGAGGGCUGCGAUACCGUGAGGUGGAGCGAAUCCCUUAAAGCCGGUCUCAGUUCGGAUCGGUGUCUGCAACUCGACACCGUGAAGUUGGAGUCGCUAGUAAUCGCAGAUCAGCAACGCUGCGGUGAAUACGUUCUCGGGCCUUGUACACACCGCCCGUCAAGUCAUGAAAGUCGGCAACACCCGAAGCCCGUGCCCCUACCGGGAGCGUUCGAAGGUGGGGCUGGUGAUUGGGA
rnacentral:rRNA from 1 species